rnacentral:rRNA from 1 species
CACCAAGGCGACGAUCGGUAGCUGGUCUGAGAGGAUGAUCAGCCACAUUGGGACUGAGACACGGCCCAAACUCCUACGGGAGGCAGCAGUGGGGAAUAUUGGACAAUGGGCGCAAGCCUGAUCCAGCCAUGCCGCGUGAGUGAUGACGGCCCUAGGGUUGUAAAGCUCUCUCACCCACGACGAUAAUGACGGUAGUGGGAGAAGAAGCCCCGGCUAACUUCGUGCCAGCAGCCGCGGUAAUACGAAGGGGGCUAGCGUUGUUCGGAUUUACUGGGCGUAAAGCGCGCGUAGGCGGAUCUUUAAGUCAGGGGUGAAAUGCCGGAGCUCAACUUCGGAACUACCUUUGAUACUGGAGAUCUUGAGUUCGGGAGAGGUGAGUGGAACUGCGAGUGUAGAGGUGAAAUUCGUAGAUAUUCGCAAGAACACCAGUGGUGAAGGCGGCUCACUGGCCCGAUACUGACGCUGAGGCGCGAAAGCGUGGGGAGCAAACAGGAUUAGAUACCCUGGUAGUCCACGCCGUAAACGAUGGAUGCUAGCCGUUAGGCAGCUUGCUGCUUAGUGGCGCAGCUAACGCUUUAAGCAUCCCGCCUGGGGAGUACGGUCGCAAGA